rnacentral:misc_RNA from 1 species
GAUGAAGAACGUAGCGAAAUGCGAUAAGUAAUGUGAAUUGCAGAAUUCAGUGAAUCAUCGAAUCUUUGAACGCACAUUGCGCCCCCUGGAAUUCCGGGGGGCAUGCCUGUUCGAGCGUCUCAGGGACGAACCCUCGCGCGGGUGUACGCGCGGUCGUGGCUGCGGUGGCGUGCCCGAGGCGGCGGCCACCGCGCUGGAAUCCAUGGGCGGACGCCUGCCGCGUGGCCGAGCGUGAUAUGACGCAUUGGCGCUCGCACGCGGAGAGGCUGCCAGCCCUGGCCCGUCUGUCGGGCGGGGGAGAGCAAGACACGUGAACUCCUCGAAUCAGGUAGGGAUACCCGCUGAACUUUAGCAUAUCAAUAAGCGGAGGA